rnacentral:rRNA from 1 species
ACCGCGUGUGUGAAGAAGGCCUGACGGUUGUAAAGCACUUUCAAUAGGAAGGAAUACCUAUGGUUAAUACCCGGUAGACUGACAUUACCUAUACAAGAAGCACCGGCUAACUCCGUGCCAGCAGCCGCGGUAAUACGGAGGGUGCAAGCGUUAAUCGGAAUUACUGGGCGUAAAGCGUGCGUAGCGGUUAUUUAAGUCAGAUGUGAAAGCCCUGGGCUUACCUGGGAACUGCAUUUGAUACUGGAUGACUAGAGUAGAGUAGAGGAGAGUGGAAUUUCAGGUGUGGCGGUGAAAUGCGUAGAGAUCUGAAGGAACACCAGUGGCGAAGGCGGCUCUCUGGACUCAAACUGACGCUGAGGUACGAAAGCGUGGGUAGCAAACAGGAUUAGAUACCCUGGUAGUCCACGCCGUAAACGAUGUCAACUAACCGUUGGGUUCUUUAAGAACUUAGUGGUGGAGCUAACGUAUUAAGUUGGCCGCCUGAGGAGUACGGCCGCAAGGCUAAAACUCAAAUGAAUUGACGGGGGCCCGCACAAGCGGUGGAGCAUGUGGUUUAAUUCGAUGCGACGCGAAGAACCUUACCUACCCUUGACAUGUAGCGAAUCCUUUAGAGAUAGAGGAGAUGCUUCGGGAACGCUAACACAGGUUGCUGCAUGGCUGUCGUCAGCUCGUG